CGGUUGAUCCUGCCGGAGGCUAUUGCUAUCAGGGUUUGACUAAGCCAUGCGAGUCGAGAGGUGAAAGACCUCGGCAUACUGCUCAGUAACACGUGGAUAAUCUGCCCUCAGGUGAGGAAUAAUCCCGGGAAACUGGGGCUAAUGCCUCAUAGGAGACGGGUGCUGGAAUGCUCUGUCUCUGAAAGGUCCGCCGCCUGAGGAUGAGUCUGCGUCCGAUUAGGUUGUUGUUGGGGUAACGGCCCACCAAGCCAUUGAUCGGUACGGGUUGUGAGAGCAAGAGCCCGGAGAUGGAUUCUGAGACAUGAAUCCAGGCCCUACGGGGCGCAGCAGGCGCGAAAACUUUACAAUGCGAGCAAUCGUGAUAAGGAAACCCUGAGUGCCUGUCAAUGCAGGCUGUUCUGGUGUUUAGUCAGCACCAGGAGAAAGGGCGGGGCAAGACCGGUGCCAGCCGCCGCGGUAAUACCGGCUGCUCGAGUGAUAGCCACUUUUACUGGGCUUAAAGCGUUCGUAGCUUGGUCGUUAAGUCUCUGGGGAAAUCUUUUGGCUCAACCAAAAGACGCCUCAGAGAAACUGGCGACCUUGGGACCGGGAGAGGUAAGACGUACUUCGGGGGUAGGAGUGAAAUCUUGUAAUCCCCGAGGGACGACCGAUGGCGAAGGCAUCUUACCAGAACGGCUCCGACAGUGAGGGACGAAAGCUGGGGGAGCAAACCGGAUUAGAUACCCGGGUAGUCCCAGCCGUAAACGAUGUGCGUUAGGUGUGUCAGUGANCACGAGUCACUGAGGUGCCGAAGGGAAACCGUGAAACGCACCGCCUGGGAAGUACGGUCGCAAGGCUGAAACUUAAAGGAAUUGGCGGGGGAGCAC
rnacentral:rRNA from 1 species